UCUGCUAGCUUCAUUGAAACUGUACAUCCAUACGACGGUUCAUCUCUAGGGCAAUAGUUCAGGAAUGAAAGUAAUUGGUUUUACUGCUUUGGAUUGACCAACAGUCCUGUAUCGCUGCAAGGCCAGAAAGUCAAGCUAAGAUGCCAUCUGUUUUGCUGCAGAAGUGCUAUUCUGCAAGCCAGGAUUGUUUUUGAGAAGGCUUAAGAAUAUUUUCAGAUUGUACUCAUUCAAGAACUCUUCCAGAUGAACUCCUUGAAGCAGUGAGCCUCUCCAACAAGGCUGAUCUUGGUGAUACUGCAGUGAAGCUCUCUAUACUCUGAAGCUGAAGGUAUUUUUGAUAUUGGUUCGUAUCUCCAAAAACUUACCGAUUUAAAUCCUUAUGGCAGUGAUUGUCAUAAACAAGCCUUUGCUUCAGAGGAGAGAGUAAGAAAGG
rnacentral:lncRNA from 1 species